rnacentral:pre_miRNA from 1 species
UCCUUUUCUUUUCCAUGUCACAGAGAUGUUGUGUAGGUCAUUUCAAAUCGUUUCUCUGCUCAGAAAUUAAUAGUCAGGAAGCAUCAACAUCUUUGUGAUAUGGAAAAGAAGGUGAAGGAG